GAUGAAGUAGCUCAGUUGGUAGAGCACAGCUUUCGUAAAGCUGGGGUCGCGAGUUCGAUACUAGACUUCGGCU
rnacentral:tRNA from 2 species